rnacentral:sRNA from 1 species
CUUGGUCAUUUAGAGGAAGUAAAAGUCGUAACAAGGUCUCCGUAGGUGAACCUGCGGAGGGAUCAUUACAAGUGACCCCGGUCUAACCACCGGGAUGUUCAUAACCCUUUGUUGUCCGACUCUGUUGCCUCCGGGGCGACCCUGCCUUCGGGCGGGGGGCUCCGGGUGGACACUUCAAACUCUUGCGUAACUUUGCAGUCUGAGUAAACUUAAUUAAUAAAUUAAAACUUUUAACAACGGAUCUCUUGGUUCUGGCAUCGAUGAAGAACGCAGCGAAAUGCGAUAAGUAAUGUGAAUUGCAGAAUUCAGUGAAUCAUCGAAUCUUUGAACGCACAUUGCGCCCCCUGGUAUUCCGGGGGGCAUGCCUGUUCGAGCGUCAUUUCACCACUCAAGCCUCGCUUGGUAUUGGGCAACGCGGUCCGCCGCGUGCCUCAAAUCGACCGGCUGGGUCUUCUGUCCCCUAAGCGUUGUGGAAACUAUUCGCUAAAGGGUGUUCGGGAGGCUACGCCGUAAAACAACCCCAUUUCUAAGGUUGACCUCGGAUCAGGUAGGGAUACCCGCUGAACUUAAGCAUAUCAAUAAGCGGAGGAAAAGAAACCAACAGGGAUUGCUCUAGUAACGGCGAGUGAAGCAGCAAUAGCUCAAAUUUGAAAUCUGGCGUCUUCGACGUCCGAGUUGUAAUUUGUAGAGGAUGCUUCUGAGUAACCACCGACCUAAGUUCCUUGGAACAGGACGUCAUAGAGGGUGAGAAUCCCGUAUGCGGUCGGAAAGGUGCUCUAUACGUAGCUCCUUCGACGAGUCGAGUUGUUUGGGAAU